UCAGACUAGGGUGGUGAUAUAAUUUUGCUAUUCAACAGCAGCUUUACCGUUUAUUCUAUGCAGUAUUUCACAUGACCUUCCAGGAGGAGUUCAGGAGAACUACUUGUUCUUUCACCCCAUGCUAUACACCACAUCAUUAGCCCCAUACUUUCACCAGGACUCUAAAGCUCCAAGUGCUUUGGAUCUCGUCCAAUACAAGAUUUAUAUUGAUGAGUUUGGUGUAUAGUGAUGAUGAUCAUUCUCUGCAUAAGGGACAAGCCAAGUUGAAUAUAACUCAUCCCAUAGGUUCACAGGAGGAGAGGGCAAACCCUGGAUGACAAAGAGUUGCAUCAGCAAUUACUGAGCGACAUGACUCCAAGAGAGGUCUUGGUGCACUGCAGACUAACACGUACUAGUUCUCCAUGAUCAGAUGAGGAUCAACAAUGCUGUCAGGACACAUUAAUGAGCAUGGAUGUUGCCGAAGAAAUUUUUCAAAGAACGAAUGUCACAGUCUUCCUUUCGUCUCCUCCGUUCUUUCCACGCUCCCACAGUUUUCACAGGCUCCCUGGAUGACUCACAUGCGGCCCUCUGCACCACCUCUGCCCUCCCCCGUAACUCCUAAACAGAGAUACCCAGAACCUCAAACUACAGACAGAUGGCAUGCAGGAAAUGGACCAAGAUGAAGCUCAAGCCGCCAGUCUCCAGACUCCCCUUUUUCCUCUGUGGGCUGAACCCAUAAGCUCUGAACUCUCUACAGAGACUACAAAUCAGCAAGAAACAAGACGACUGAACUGCAUUGCAAGAUAUCUGCAGAGAAUGUGGUUAAUUAGACUGAACUAAUAGGUUUUUCUGUGUGGCUGCAAUUUAAAAAAAAAAAAAAAAAAGUUAUGAAGCAAAAUUUCAGUAAUGCUACUUGUAAAUGCCCCACAAAUAUAAAAUAAAGUACCUUUAAAACUGUAAAAUUUCUGAUGUUACCAGGCCAACAGCUACAAAAGUCUCAAUGCAAUUAUCUGUAUAGAGCUAUUUUGUAAUCAGGAGUCCAAACAUUUGACUAGUUUAUUAAGAAUCUCCAAAUACUAUGCAUUAUUUGUGAACUGUCCCAAGUUUGUGAAUUUAAGAACAACAACAAAAAAAAUGUAAUGCUCAG